rnacentral:lncRNA from 1 species
ACAUCACAGAGAUCUUCAAUUAAAAUAGAGCAGAUCCGGCCAUCACUAUUCCUUCUACUGCUCUUUUGCUUUAGAGAACGCUUGAAUUACAGAAUGCGUGUAAGGCUUUCUUGUUCAAGGUCCAGCGGUCAAACCUUGCACAAUAGCAACAGAGGCAAUAGUUCCAUCGCCAGCCUAAUCCUUGGACUCGCCAAUGUUCUCCACGAGUAGGAAAUCAACCUAAAAAAUAAGAAUGAGUUGGAAAAACUGUUUAUGGCCGUAAAGAACUUGAAAAUGAGAAAUGAUUAAGAAUGAGUGACUAAACAUUUUAAUCGACUAAACAUAGAAAACUUAAAACCUAAUAUUGAAGUGCUCUGGAAGAAUGUGCAAUUGCACGAGCUGGUGACAACUGACUUUACUGCAAAGGCUCUUUCAAACCCUUGGAGAUGAUACUCUACAUACCAUGAUAACCUGAUAACACAAAGAAAAACAAUGAAUAAUAAAGGAUAUUUUGACAACGCAAAUUUGUGCAAAUUAUUAAGUGUGGUUACCUGCAUAAUAGUAUCAACACCAAAUUCCUGCCUCCAUUGACGUAUAUGAUAAUAUUAGCACAAUUCAAUAUGUUUAUAUUGGAUAAAUGAUUCCAAGAAUGAAACAAGACAGAAAUGAUGAUCUCAGCACCUUAACAUCAGGCAAUAAUAAUCAUCAUGUCUUUCAGGCAGCUGUCCUUCCUCAAUUGAAACAGAGCAGACCCGACCAUCACUUCCUUCUUCAAAGUCCAGCAACAAAACUCUGCACAAUAACCAUAGUGAUAAUCCUUGGUUACCCCAAUGUUCUCUAUAGAGUCUUCAAAGUCAACCUAAAAAUGAAAUAAAGAUGCAAUACAGGUGGAAAUGGAAGUUCUAUAAAUUAAAUAAAAUAAAAAUGUAAUGCUUAUUUUGGAUGGUAAAAGUCAACUAAUUAAUUAAUGAUUUAUUUUUUUUAAUUUAAACCACCAAGUGGUGGGGGGUUAGGAAAGACCCCUACUUGUGAUAUAAAUCAAUAAUGAAGAAGUACAUAGGAAGGGGAUAUAAACCAAAACCUCCUCAAGUAAAUGCAAACACAUAAGAAUGAAGGCAAGAGAAAAAACAACAACUGAAAGAAUAGAACGAGUAAUCCUAUUGCCUGAUAUGAGGAAUCUCCUUAGUGUCCAAAUGAAGAAUGCUAGAUAGGCCAGCGAGAAGAUCCCGAAAAGACAAAAAAACAUCAGUUAACUCGAUGAGUGUAAGCCUAAUUAGCCAGAAAAUCAACAGCAUAAGUAGGUGGAGUCUGACUCUACUUUUAGCACGGAGUGUCCAAGCUGAACUGCAAUAUCUAAUCCCUCAUAAACAACCAUAAGCUCAACAUAAAUUAUUGGUUGGUAACCAAGGAAAGAUCCAAAAGCAGCCAAAACCUGCCCCUGAUGAUCACAGAGAAUACCACCCGAAGAAGCCAUCCCGGGAUUGCCCCCGAGCAACCAUCCACGGUUAGUUUAACAAACCCCAAAGGCAACCGAAACCAAGAGACUAAGUGAAUUGGCCUUUUUGGUGGUGUGAUUAUUCGCAAACCCUCUGUAAUCGUAGAAUCCAACACUCCUUGAAGCUGGGAAGUUUUGAAACCAAAAACAGAACUAGCAAGCCCAAGGUCCAAUCCCACCUGGUGGACAAUUGCAAUGAGAAAUAUUGUGAAUCAAAUUUGAAAGCAUUACGAGCCUUCCAAAUAUACCAUAAGAUAAAAGAGGGUAGGAGAACUUGAAGAUGGCUCCGAAAAAGGGUGCACCAUCACCAAUGAAGAAGCAGAGCAUGAGGGGUCGGAAACACAACUACAUGCAUACCUAGAAUCCGUAAAAAAUAAUCCCAAACUAACCUAAUCUGCGGGCAAGCAGGGAAUAAAUGACGAGCAGUCUCAGCCACCUGACCACAAAUGCGUCAAGAAACCAUGUAAAAACCCCUUGAACAUAAGGCGUCAUCAGUAGCCAAAAAUCCAUGCAACAUCCGCUAGAGAAAGAAGGAAAUCAGAGAAGGGGUGAGCCGCUGCCAAAUAAGAGAAAAGACCUUAAUUCUUAGUUUAGUGCAACGCACAAGCUCCCACGUUGAUCGUAACUAAAAAGUGCCAUCGGUAAUGAGAUCCCACCUAAUCAAGUGUGGCUCCUCCCUAGAAAUAGGAACUAAAAGAAUCUAUGCCAUGAUAGAGAGGGUAACACAUCCUGGAGUUUACCUUGAUCCCAGACUGUACCCUGCUAGUAAAAAGAAACUGGAACCAUAGAAGCCGCUGCAGGGUUAUAAAGUGCUAAAGGAUAAGACCCUAGUCAACAAUCAUACCAGAAGCUGCACUCCCCCCGGUCUAUCAACCAAUGCACAUGGGGCCCUACAAUACACUGAAUCAAAUAGAGGCAUCUCUAAAGAGGAAAAGCAAGAUAACGAAACUGAACUAGGCUCAGAUGUGUGGCUAUACAAUACUUAGACUUCAUAUAUGAAGCCCAUAGUGAACUUUGCUCUUGAAAGCGCCACCAAAGUUUAAGUUCUAAAGCCUUAACCAUAUCAUUAGAAGACCGAAUACCCAAACCACCCUCGUCUACCAGGUAACAAACCGUCGUGCAUCUACAUCAGUGAAUCCGACGCUUUGUAUCUGAAUCUCCCUAUAAGAAUCGUUUAAAAAUUCUAUCUAAGCGGUGGAUCACAACAUAUGGAGGGCUAAGAACGUCAAACAAAUGCAUCAUAAUAGAAGAUAGAACAUGGCGAAUAAGCAUAAAUUUCCCUCCAAAAGAGAACAAUCGAUUGGCUCACGCUGAGAUUCUAUUCCUGACAUUCUGAACCAUAUCGUCAAAAAGAGAAAUCUAACGACAACCCUUAAAGACAGGGCACCCAAGAUAAGUAAGCAGAAGUUUAUGUCUCUGAAAACCAGUAACUGAAUGGACAAUAGUCUGGCGCGAAGCAGUAGCUGAGUCCCCAAUAUAAAAACUAUUGUUGUCCUGAUUGAUACACUAUCCAGAAAUAGUCUUAUAGUGGUGGAGGAAAUUUGAAAGACGCUGCAAACUGGUCCUACUCCCAUUAACAAAGAUAAAAAUAUCAUCUGCAAAGCUCAGAUGAGACUGUCAUAAGGGUCGAGGUUCUAUAUGCCAUGGAAGGAUACUGAGAAUAAAGGGAAUCUAGACUUCUGGAGAGAAACUUAUCUGUAAUAAUAAAAAGACAUGAGGAUAUAGGAUCGCCUUGUCACAGGCCUCCAUGAGAUUGAAAGAAUCCAUGGCAAGAAUCAUUGACCAGAAUAGAGUACCAUGGACCAGAGAUGGCUCGAUAAAUGAGGGAAAUCCAUCGCUUUGAAAAACCAAGGCUCCGAACCGUCAAAAGAAUGAACGAUCAUGACAUCCUAUCAUAAGCCUUAGCCAUAUCUAGUUUAGAAACAACAUUAUUCCCAUGGGUCCUCCUAUUUAAAUCAUGAACAAGCUCCUACACCAACAGAAUAUUAUCAUGGAUUACCCUACCUGGAUCAAAGCUACUCUGUGAAAGAGAGAUAAUCUGAGGCAGAAUGUGCGAGAGUCAUGUAACUAGUAACUUCGUAACGAUUUUGCUACUGAUGUUGCAUAGGCUAAUAGGUCUGAAGUUUGCCCGUGUUAAUGGAGAAGUCUUCUUCGGUAGAAGGACCAGAAGUGUAAUCUAAAAGCCUCGUGGUAUAGCUGAACUUGAGAAAAAAUCGAUCACAAUAGCCAUCAAAUCACAACAAAUAAUUUCCCAACAAAUUUGAUAAAAUCUGCUACAGAAACCAACAGGCCCAGGCGCACUUAAAGGAUCUAUAGAGAAUACAACUUGGCAAACCUCCUCUAUGUUAUGAACUCUACAUAGCUCCACAUCCUCCUCAUCUGAAACUAAAGAUGGAAUAUCAUCAAAGUCUGAUAAUUGAAACUAGCUGGUACCUCUAGAAAGCAAAUCUUGUUAGAAAUGAAUAGUCAAAGCAACAAUAUCCAUAGAAUUAGCAUCCUGAAUCCUGUGAAUAAAACACUGUUGACACUUCUUUCUAACCACAGCAUGAUAGAAACGAGUGUUCGAAUCCCUCUCUCGGACCCAUCGAAUACCUAACUGCAGUCUAAGAAAAGUCUCAUCACUGGAUAAAGCAUGUAGUAAUCUCGCUCUAGCCUAAGAAAAAAAAAUGGUUCUAUCCUCUGCCGACGCAGACAUAUAAAAAAGGAGCUCCCGAUGAGCCACUUCCACUUCAGCCGCUCUAACUCUCUGAAAGACAUCUCUGAAAACGUCUUUGUUCCAAGACUUUAAACAAAGUUUCAACCAAACCAACUUCUUCUGAAAGGCCCGCAUCCCUCUACCUAUCAUUGGUGCUGACUAGGAAUGCCUUACCAUGUCAAAAAAGCUUGAAUGUGUGAUCUAAGAAUGAAGGAACUUAAAUCUUGACUGUCCCCUAACCCACUGUCAAUCAAGAGAUAGAAGGAGGGGAGCGUGGUCUGAUACAGUACGAUUCAUAUGAGUAGCCCUGAAGACUGUAAAAAGACUAGACCAUUGUAAGUUGCAGACCACCCAAUCCAGAGUCGCCAAGUAUGCCCAUUAAUCCAAGUGAAUGAGCUACCUAAAAAGCCAACAUCCUCCAAACUACAGUCUAGUACAGCCAAAUUAAAGGCAUCUAUAACGACUUGAGUCUGGUUAUGUCCACCAGAGAUCUCAGAUAAAGACUUAACAACAUUAAAGUCUCCCCCAACCAUCCAAGGACCAUCCAUACCAUCAGUAAAAGACACAACAGCAUCCCAUAACUGUUCUCUUACAGAGAUGAAUAACUGGCAUAAACAAGUGAGAUAAAUACAAUAUCAGGAAGAAAUUAGUGACUGGCCCGAUAGUGCAGAACCUAUCCCACAUCCUGAAUAACCUCCAAUGUAAAAGAAGCCAACCAGAAAACCCAAAUCUUCCCAGAAGAAGAGGAAAUAACUGAUUCUAUUCCUAGUCGAUUCCGAGUGGACUCAAGUUUGUCUAAAUGAAGAAAAUGCUCCAACACACAAACUAAGGACAAAUAGUGCAUGUGAAUAAGUUUCUUCAAGCAUCGAACUGCAGGGGCUUUACCGAUGCCCCGUAUAUUCCACAUAAUGGAAUUAAUCAUCUAAGUAAAUAGAAGCGAGAAUUGUCCCCUUAAUUAUUUAAUAACUCAGGUAUUUAUUAUCAAGUACAUCAUCUUAUUCAACAUUUUGGCUAUAUAUAAAGAUUAUAAUUUCUAACAGUUGUUUCGGAUUCUUGUGUACUCAGGUUAAUAGGGCAAAUGUCAGAAUGAAGACUGUUCAGUUUAACCGGUUUAGCAAGGAUGAUAUCGGUGAAGAAGAUUAUUGGCAGGCCAAAUAGAGCCCUCCAUUUUGAGAAAUAUCAUCCGCAAAUUUGAAUUGUUGAGCAUGUGAAGUUAACCUUCUUAGUGAGUGAGUAAUUAAGCAUAUAUCAGCGAUUUUGGUCGUCAGUGAAUGUUUUCAUUUAAUAUUAAUACACUGUCGUUUCUUAGUAAAUUCUCUUCAUGUCACUUCCUCCUUGUCGUUCUUAUGGAAAUACCUUCCUUUUUGACCAGUAGCGGCUCGACCUCUAGGCAACUUAGGCGAUUGCCUAGGGCCCCGCUUUACAUGAAGGCCCCACGAGAUGAUUAUUUUGUAUGUAAAAGGGGAAAAUGGAUUUAAAAGUCAUUAUUAUUCAUUUAAUUUAUUAUUAUUUUGUAAUUAUCUUUUCCUAAAUAAACUAUCAAAUUCCUAUAAAGUUUAUUUAAUGUAGUACUUAGUAGUUUUAAUUUCUACAAAACCGAUAAAUUAAUAGUUUCAAUUCUACAAAUUCUCUAUUUCAUUGUUAGAAUUAAUAUAUUAUAUUUUAAAUGUUUUACAUUCAUUUUAAACCUCUAUAAAAGCCCCACAUUUGAUUACUUAUCCAUUAAAUUUUUCCUCCAACAAUCAAGAUAUGAUAUGUUCUCAUCUCAAAUUUCAGAUUUUAUCUUUUUAUUAUUCGCUCAAUUAGUUGUGUUAUUUAUUUGUUCUUAUUUCUUUUUAAUAUAUUCUUUUAUUCAUCUACUUUUUUUUGUGUACUUGUUUUAUCUAUUUUAAAAUAAAACCAUAUCGAAAAACUUUAAAGAAUAGAAGAAUAGAAAAAUUAGUUUAAUUUAGAAAAUGAGUAGUAAAAAAGAUAUAAUUUGAGUUAAAAAAAAUAAGUGGAAAUAUUAUAAUUGAAUUAAAAUUUAAUGCAUUAGCAACAUAAAUUUCAUGGAUUAUCAAUAGUAGAAUAGAAUUUUAUUUAAUAAUUUUAAAUUUUAGAGUGUUUAAAGAAUUGAUUUUCAAUAAAUAAUAUAUAUAUAUAUAUAAUCUUAAAUUUUAAGAAAAACUAAUUAAAAUCAUUUGCCUAAGACCCUAAAUAUAGUUGAGCCGGCCUUGUUUUUGACAUGCAAAAUACAUUACAAAAGCUCCCAAACAAUAUAUUUGAACGAAGUUACCCUUUUCGAGAAUUUUGACUCCCAAACAAGCCUGCAGAGUGGUGUAUGGUGGGAUUAGCUGCAGGAGCAGUGCAAGAUUCUUCGUCAAGCUAUCUGGCUAGUAAAAAGACUGUUGCCAAACCUCCUUUUCAUUCCUUUGUUCACUUAUUCGUUAUAAAUAAACUUAGAAGAUUGUUCUGUUAACUAUCUAAGCCAGUGUAACAUUUGUUAAAUUUGGGCCAUCUUGAAUGUCUGACAGGUUGUCUGUGACAAUCCCAGCUGUAAGUACUAAUGCAUUUGGGCCAUCUUUAAUGCACUUGUGCUUUCAUUGAACUGUAUGCAAGCCUGAGAUAUCAGCUAUUGCGUGGAUUUGAUAGAGCGGUCACCAACCAAUUUGAAGUUAUUGGAGUAGCUCAAUGGUCUCAAGCACGGCUUUGAGGUCUCUCCCUGUCUCUUUUACGUAUUUGUCUAUUGAUCGACAUCUCUAUAUAUACAUGAAUAGACCAAAUUACUCUUGCUUUAAUGUUUUGUUUGUUGAACUUCGACUGGGGAAUUUGUUUAUUUGUCUUAUGUGAUGUCAAUGUGGUUCCCAUUGAAGUGUAUAGAUCUAUCACCUCAAAUUCUGAUUUCAAUUUUCCUUAAUCAACUAGCAUCCUUUCCAAGUCCAGAUAAUUACCAUUUCUCUUAUUUUACAGUUAAAUAUGUAAGAAUAGUUUUAAAUUUACAGAAUUCUGAUAUAGUUCUCUAAGGAAAUGGGAGUGGUGAAUAUGGUUCCAUCUUUUUAACAGGCUUAAUAGGCCCAUUUGUUGAGCCACAGAAUUCUGAUUGCGGUCUAAAUUCUUCUUUACUGUCUAUAUGUGUUGGAGUUUGUCUAUUGUCCAACUUCUCGAAGGGAUUCCAUGCAGGGUUUUGACUGUCCAAUUAGGAGAAAGAUCAACGGAUGACCUUUUGAAGAAGGCUUACACAAGAGGCCAUCUCAGAAUGUCAUGGCUCAGCUCAAAAGUCCCCAGGUGGUUGAUACCAAAGAAUGCCAUUGUUUCUGGGCCUGGGCUCCUUGGCGUCAAACAAGAUAAUGUUGACUCUAUUGAAGGGCUUUUGACCGCAAGUUUCCAUUUGAAGUAGCCGGUAUUCUUUACAGACUAAUUAUCCAAUGAUUAUUUUUUACAAAAAAAUAUCAUAACUUUAAUUAAUUGAUCAUACUCAACUUAGGUCUUGUUUGAUAUUACUAGUUGUUGUGAAAAAAAAAAAAAAAUUGAAAGCUGAAAUGUGUAGUAAAUGUAUGACUUUUAGAUAAUAAUUUUAAUAAAAUUAAUAAAGAUAUUAUAAUUUUUUUAUAAUAAAGUAUGAGAUCAAAUCAAAUUAAUUUUUAAAUCACAAUAGCAAAUGUUUAUCAAAACUGUUUAAUUACGUGGCUUAAAAAGUAUAGUUGUCCAACCUCAACAUUAUAUAAGGAUUUACCAGACUCUACCCGACUUUAGUUGUCCUUGCUCGAUCAUGCAAGUCCAUACUCGAUAUGCUUGACCCUAUAAGAUGUUACUCAACUUUAAUUAAUCUUACUCGACUUUGCAAGUUUGGCAUGUGGGAUGGAAUAUGAUAGUAUAUGAUGUGAUAGAAUAUUAUAGAAAUAGUUGUAACAAGAUUACAUUUAGUACUAUUUAAUAUUUUAUGUAAUGCAGUAUAUGGUUGAAUUAUAGGAUCCAGUUAUGGUGCAACUGCUGUACCAUACCACAGUUGCUUUCAGUCAUUGGAUCUAUUCAUCUUUAGUAAAAAUGUAAUAUCUUAAAUAAUAGUUAUCUUUAGUAAGUAUUUUUUUUGUAAUGAAUUAUACUUUUAAAAUAUAAUAAAAAAUUCUUUUACUAAACUAAUAAAAAAUAAUUCUUUGAGUUAUCUCCUAAACUACUUAGCUCAGGUGAACGAAACAGUAGUUUUACGUGUGAGCCACAUCCUUUCCACAUCAACCUCAACAUCCAAACAUGAAAUUGGACUAAAAAUAGUUCUCUCCCAUGCAUUUACGUACCCUCCUGCCACUAGGGGUGUUCGCGGAUCAGAUUUUACGGAUUGAACCUCAAUCUAUAUCCGAUCCAUGAUUUUACGGAUUAUAAAUUUUCAAUCCAAUCCAAUCCAUGGAUUGAUGAAAUUUAAUCUACAUUCAAUCCAUACAUCUGUGGAUCAGAUGUGGAUUUGACCCAAUCCACAUCCAAUCCACCAUUUUAAGGAUUGGUUUGCGGACUGAAAUUUUUUAACACUACUAGAAAAAUGGUCUUUACCGACACUUGGUUUGUGACACUUUAUUACAAAGUAUCAGUAUUUGUAUACAUAUGGGCCAUUUUCCAUGUUUAACACAUAAGUAUCACAAAUUAAUGAUACUAUGGUGUCUGAAAUUUGGACAUCAGAAAUCACUGACACUAAAGUAUUAGUAAUAAAAAUAAAAUAAUUCUAAUCAUGUAACGGAUGGAAUUUGAACCGGGGACCUCGAACAUCGGAACAUUUAAGUGACACUAAGGUAUCAGUAAAAGAAAAUAAAAUUUAAAUUUUGUUCCAAACUGAUAUUCGAUCCUAGGACUUUUCAAAGCCAAAGCUUUUAAGUUAAAAAUUGAAACCGUUCUGACUUUUUGUUAGUUAUGAUACAGAAUUAGUAGAAUAUUAUGCUUUUAAUAUGAAGAACUUGAAAUGUAUUGAGUGCGGCUGAGUGAAAAUUUUAGCGGGUUUUGGCUGAAAAUUUACUAAUAAAUAAUAUAUUUUCAGUUAGAAACGGUAUUGUUUCACUUAGAAAAAAUAAAGAUAAGUAAAACGCAUCGUUUUAUUCAACCCUAAGACCAAAAUCGAAGCUAAUUUUUUUCUAAGUCAUUCACUCAUCAGUCUUUCACCACUCGGUUCUCCUUCUCUAUCAAAGCUAAGUAAACCAAACCCUAAAAUCAUAUCCCUCACUGUAAUCAAACUUCACGUCGAUCCCAACCAAGCUCAAAGCAGAGGAAUUCAUUUCUAUCAUGAUUUGGCUCUCUCUCUCUCUCUCUCUCUCUCUUCACUGCGAUAAAUUUGUUUCUAAAGGUGCCAUUUAUUCAUUUUUUUUAUUUUUUAUUAUUAUGUUUCCAAUUUACAGUGCCUAUUUUCCUCAUGCAUGUUGUUUUGUUGCGGUUUAACUAUAGAAUGAGUUUUAAAAUUCUUAGUUUUAUAUUGUAAUCUUGAUUGUUUAUAAUUUGGGACCUGGGAAAACCUAACAGAGAGGUAAAGGUAACUGAAGUUGAAUUAUUUACUAGAUUAUUUAACUAAGAGUAGUUUUAUAAAUGCCUGAUUCAAGUCAGUUUUCUUUCGUCUCUUUCUUUAGUUGCCAUGUCACUGGACUUUGAAUUUCAUGUACACUUUAACUGGAAUUGAUGGAUACAAUGUCAAUGCAAAUUUGGGUUUUUCUCAUUUUCCCCAUUUCUCGAAAUUGCAUUUUAAAUUUUGCAUGAUGCUUUUAAUUUUGGGCCUAACUUGUUCCAUUUAAUUAGCGCUUGAUAAAGAUACAUAUUAACAAAGGGUCAAUUCAUUAAUCCUUUCCCUGUAAUGCACUUGCUAGACUUAGUAUAAAUGCAAUAUCUCACAUGCAAACCCUUCGACAACAACAAGUAUUGUCCUUAAUUUUUUUUUUAUGUGAUUUCCCUUGUACAGCUCUCUGACAUAGUAAUUAACAAUCUCUCGCUUUUGAAGAAUCACAAAAGUUUACGGUGUAACAGCUGUCUUCAUUUGGUAAUUCUUUUAAAUCACUCACUUUCUUUCAAUUUCUAUUAUCGUUGUGUUCUGAGUUUUACUUAUACUAACAUGUUUUAAAUAUUAACAUGCAUGGUUUUACUUUCGUUUUUGUUGCAUAGACUCUUCUGGAAUUAAAUUUUUUGUUCUAUAUAUACUUUUGUUUGUUCUAAUAUGAAAAUGAAAUUUUGAAAAAUGUGGAUGGGACAUGUUUUGUUGGCUUGUUGAAUGUGUACAUGUAUGCUCUGUUGGCUUGUUGAAUGUGUACAUGUAUGCUCUGUUGGCUUGUUGAAUGUGUACAUGUAUGCUCUGUUGGCUUGUUGAAUGUGUACAUGUAUGCUCUGUUGGCUUGUUGAAUGUGUACAUGUAUGCUCUGUUGGCUUGUUGAAUGUGUACAUGUAUGCUCUGUUGGCUUGUUGAAUGUGUACAUGUAUGCUCUGUUGGCUUGUUGAAUGUGUACAUGUAUGCUCUGUUGGCUUGUUGAAUGUGUACAUGUAUGCUCUGUUGGCUUGUUGAAUGUGUACAUGUAUGCUCUGUUGGGUUGCUGAAUGCUUACAUAUAUGCUCUGUUGGGUUGCUGAAUGCGUACAUAUAUAUUUAAGUGACUCUAAACAAAUAGAAUUUAGAUUUAUUUUGCAAUUUGUAUUUUUUAAUUUAAACCUAAAAGUUUGGAGUUAUUUGUGCAAUUUAAGUAAACUUAUUAAACUAACAACAUCUAACAAAUGAACAGGUAACAAUACAUAUUAUGGACAAAACUUGGAUAUUCUGUGAUAGAUUGUCUGAUGAGUAUAGUGAUGGGGUUGAUGAUUUAAAUGCUUUUUCAAACCCGUGAACAUGAUGCACCCGAGAGAUGCAAGAUAUGAAAAUGUUACUACAGCAAGCAUUGAAACAUUUGUUAAGAAAGGAACUUUAUGAAAAUAAGCCUUAACAAUCAUUAGAUACUCGCCUUCAGGAAUCAAUUCAUCUGUAAUAACAAUUUUCAAAAAGCAUGAACUGCUUUAAGCUCCUCAACAUCACAGAGAUCUUCAAUUAAAAUAGAGCAGAUCCGGCCAUCACUAUUCCUUCUACUGAUCUUUUGCUUUAGAGAACACUUGAAUUGCAAAAUGCGUGUAAGUACUCUGAAUGAAUGUGCAAUUGCACGAGCUGGUGACAACUGACUUUACUGCAAGGCUCUUUCAAACCCUUGGAGAUGAUACGCUACAUAACAUGAUAGCCGGAUAACACAAAGAAACACAAUGAAUAUUAAAGGAUAUUCUCACAAUGCAAAUUUGUGAAAAUUAUCAAGUGUGGUUACCUGCAUAAUAGUGUCAACUCCAAAUUCCUGCCUCCAUUGACGCAUAUGAUAAUAUUAGCACAAUUCAAUAUGUUUAUAUAGGAUAAAUGAUUCUAAGAAUGAAGCAAGAUAGAAGUGAUGAUCUCAGCACCUUAACAUCAUGCAAUAAUAAUCAUCAUAUCUUUCAGUUAGCUAUCCAUCCUCAAUUGAAACAGAGCAGACCCGGCCAUCGCUUCCUUCUUCAAAGUCCAGGAACCAAACGUUGCACAAUAACCAUCGUGAUAAUCCUUGGUUACCCCAAUGUUCUCCGUAGAGUCUUCAAAGUCAACCUAAAAAUGAAAUAAAAAUGCAGUGCAUGUGGAAAUGAAAAUUCUAUAAAUUAAAUUAAAAAAAAAUGCAAUGCUUGAGCUUGAGCUUGCUUUAACACCAUCAUAAUAGCGAACUUUGAUAUAUCUUUACUUCUCUGUGGUUCAAUUAUUUUCUUCUCUGUUCUUGUUUAUUCACAACAAGAUAUCAAUAGAAGAAGAUGGAAAUGAAAUUCUAUAAAAUAAAGCAAGUGAAUUACCAACAGAACAUUUUAGCAAUCCUUUGGCUAAACUUUUCAUUUUCUUAGCAUACUCUCCUGCCUGCAUCAUUAAAACCAAAUUAGAUUGGACCUGUGAAUUGCUGGUGUGGUUCUGACAUUUCCUCGAAUCCCUGGUGAACAUAAUUAAACUCGUAUGAAAUAAAACAAAGUGGGCUAAUGUACUACAAAAAACAAUUACACAAUUACUUUAAAGAAUUAAUGUCACAUAAAUUAUAUAUAAAAAAAUACGAUUAUCAUUAUACAAGAUAAAAUUGAUAAUUUAUUUUUCAACAUUACUGCAAAUGUAUCACAGAGAUUUUGUCUCUCAGGAAGUUACACAUAACAAAUUUUCGUACAUUAAAAAAUAAAUUGCAUCGGGAUUUUCUAUGAUAUUGUGUGAAAUUUUACAAAAGAGCACAUAUUUUUUAAAAGUAAAUAAAUAUAGAAAUUUAAACAGACUACACUUGUUUUUUUUAUUAUUUAAUCUUUAGAAAACAAGUUUAACAGAUUUGAUAACUAGGAAGUUUUACAUAUUUAUACGAUGAUUGAUUUUAUAUAGAAUUUUAAUUCAAAAUAUAAUUAUUUUUAUUAAUUUCAUUGCAAGCAACUACGAAGUAAAUCAGAGAAGGAGGAGAAAUUACCAGCGAGUGACAUCUUACGCCGACCACUUGAUGUGGGCAAUGUGAGAUAUCAUAUGCCAGUCUUCUCCUUUCCCCUCUCUAUAACGGUUUUCCAAAAGGGGACAUCCCCAAAUUGUCAAUUUCUGCAGCGUCGUUGUCCGAAGGAGGUAAUCCGGCAGCACCUUUAAUUUGGGGCAAUACCAAAUUCGCAAGGAAGAAAGACGUGGUAUGUCUGUUGUCCUGUGAUCUUCUAGAAUGGGCAGUUCUUCCAUAUUUUCACAAAAAAAAAUCCUCAGGUUCUGCAGCGCCGUCGUUUGAAGAAGGUAAUCCGGCAGCGCCUUUAAUUUGAAGCAAGAAUCAAUUCGCAAGGAAGAAAGACGGGGCAUGAUGGAGACGUUUUCCUUCCUCGUAAUCCUGUAAUUCCACUCUUCCAGUUCAUCCAAUCCCUUAAUUUCCAGUGAUUUCAAUUUGGGGAAGGCAGUAACUGAUGAUGACGAUGAAGAUGAAGAUGGGUCGUCCUCACUGCUUUCUUCUAUUCCCAAAAACUCAUUACCCAAUCUUUUUACACUUUUCAAGUUCCCUAGUUCGAGUUUUUCCAGAGCCAAUUUUCCCAAAGGAGGCAAAUGCUCACAGUCAACGCACGAGACAAGUCUUAAUUCCCUUAGAUUGGUUAGUGAAGUCAACCAUUUGGGAAAAAUGUUGCCUCCAUAGAAUACAAUCCCGAAUUCCUCUAAAUUCAAAGGCGGUUGUAAGGCUUCAAGAAGUUGUUUAUCUUUCUCGUUCUUCCUCCUCCCUUCUUCGCCUUCCCCAUCUACGACUCUACCAAACUCAAGAUGCAAACGAAGGAGGUUUUUCUUAUUGUAAAGUUGCGACCUCUCAGCCUCAUCUAAAUGUGACACAUUACUCAGCCCUUCUAUACUACAUUUACCACGGAGUUGAAGAUUUUUCAGAGAUUCAAGCCUACACGUAUUGCUACCAUCAACACCUCCACCCACCACAAACCUGUCUAAUGUUCGAAGGCUGGUUAAUUUGGAAAUCCCUAUUGGCAUGUACUUCAACGAAUAAGUUUCACCAUUCAGUAAACUCCUCAUGUUCAUUAACUUCCCAAUCCCCGCUGGCAAUUCUCUAAGAUUUCGGCACCGCCUAAUAUCUAGCUUUUGUAAAUUAUAUAAUUCACACAAAGUCUCAGGUAGUAUCUCUAUGCCGAUUUCAAUUUGGGGAAGGCAAUAACUGAUGGUGAUGAUGAAGAAGAAGACGGGCCAUCCUCACUGCUUUCUUCUAUUCCCAAAAACUCAUUACCCAAUCUUUUUACACUUUUCAAGUUCCCUAGUUCGAGUUUUUCCAGAGCCAAUUUUCCCAAAGGAGGCAAAUGCUCACAGUCAACGCACGAGACAAGUCUUAAUUCCCUUAGAUUGGUUAGUGAAGUCAACCAUUUGGGAAAAAUGUUGCCUCCAUAGAAUACAAUCCCGAAUUCCUCUAAAUUCAAAGGCGGUUGUAAGGCUUCAAGAAGUUGUUUAUCUUUCUCGUUCUUCCUCCUCCCUUCUUCGCCUUCCCCAUCUACGACUCUACCAAACUCAAGAUGCAAACGAAGGAGGUUUUUCUUAUUGUAAAGUUGCGACCUCUCAGCCUCAUCUAAAUGUGACACAUUACUCAGCCCUUCUAUACUACAUUUACCACGGAGUUGAAGAUUUUUCAGAGAUUCAAGCCUACACGUAUUGCUACCAUCAACACCUCCACCCACCACAAACCUGUCUAAUGUUCGAAGGCUGGUUAAUUUGGAAAUCCCUAUUGGCAUGUACUUCAACGAAUAAGUUUCACCAUUCAGUAAACUCCUCAUGUUCAUUAACUUCCCAAUCCCCGCUGGCAAUUCUCUAAGAUUUCGGCACCGCCUAAUAUCUAGCUUUUGUAAAUUAUAUAAUUCACACAAAGUCUCAGGUAGUAUCUCUAUGCCUAAUUCAGACAAAUUAAGAUAUUUUAAAUGUAUCAAUUUUCUGACAUUUUUUGGAAUUUCUCUAAUCGAAUUUGGGUCAAGAUGAAAAGGAUGAAAAUAUAGGGACGAUUGCCUUAUAACUAAUGCCCUUAAACACACCAAUUUACUAAAUAACUCUGAAAGGAUGCUACUAUUAAGAGAUGGAUUGAAACUACUUCUAUCAUAAAUUAAGAGGCUACGCAAUCUAUCAAGUCCACAAAUGGACAUAGGAAAUGAAUCUCCUCCUUCAAAAUUUAACCCUAAGUGACGGACUUUGACACCAGAAGGCUUUAUGAUUGAUUCUUUGUUAUCAUCAAUUUCUAGCCACAAACAUUCUUUUCUACUUACAAAUUGGGCAAAAUCAUGUACUAUGUCAUGCAUCUUGCAACUCCUAAUAUUAUCAUCAUCAUUUUUCUCAAACUCUUGAAAGAAAGAGCGUGUUGCUAAGAUGUUGAAAUACUCUUCUCCAAUCGUCUCCAUUUCUUUGUUUGCUUUUGCAUUAAGGUAAUCUUGAGCCAUCCACAGAUCAAUCAAUUCAUGUUUAUCCAUAUUAUAGUCUUUUGGAAAGACAGCACAAUAUGAGAAACACUGUUUUACCAUAGAAUUGGAGGGCAAAUCGUUAUAGCUCAACAACAAAGGAGCCAAAAGACCUUGCCCAAUCUCUUCUACUUCCCACAUUUCACUCUCUAAAAUACUUUCCCACUCUUCUACUGUACUUUUAGAGCGCAAGAGAUUCCCAAUUACCUUUGCAGCAAGAGGCAGGCCUUUGCAGUUGCGUGCAAUUUUUCGUCCAAUUGAUUCUAAUUUUUCACGAUCCUCGGAAGAACGAUCGAAAAAUACUAACCGCUCGAACAGCGACCAGCAUUCCUCUUCAGCCAAUUGUUCAAUGGAGAUAAUAUCUAACUCUGUUGUUCCCAUCAUACGUGCAACUGACACAUUACGUGUGGUAACCAAAAUUUUACCUCCGUGGAGAUCAUUCUUUAGACAACGGAAGAAUGGUUCCCAUUUAUUGCAAUUCCCAUCCCAUACAUCAUCUAAGACAAGAAAAAUCUUUUUUCCUCGAAUUGACCUAUGGAUAUGGUUCAUAAGAGAUUGGAAUUCGCUUAAACCAUAAGCUUCUUUUGACUCGCCUAGACCUUCAAUGAUUGCUUUGGCGACCCUAAUCUCCUCAAAAGUGUCUGAUACACACACCCAUAUAACUUUUUCAAAAUUUCUUUUCACCUCAUCAUUAUUAUAGGCUAGUUGUGCAAGAGUGGUUUUACCUAUACCCCCUAAGCCAACUAGUGAAAUGACAUGAAGGCCUUUUUGUUGUUCACUACUUUCACACAACUUGCUUAAGAGCUCAUUUUUCUCAUCAACUCUACCGCAAACCUCUCCCUCAUCAAUCAAGGAGAUGGUUCGCUCUCGCUCUGGUUUCUUAACACUGUUAAUCACAUUCUCAACAAAAUUAAACCUAUCUUUUCGAGCGGCAAUUUCAUCUAGCUUUUCACUGAUUUCUCUAAUCUUGACAGCAAUAUCAUGACGAAGACUGAGUUGUUUGAAACCACCAAAGCAGUUUGAGGCAGCAGGAAAGAAGUAACAUACCUUCGUCAAAAGAGUAACAAAAGCAUUGGCGUCAUCAUCAUCGCGACCCUCAUCAAGCUGCAAUUUCCGUGUUUCAGUGAUCCACUCAUCCAAAACAUCUUCCAUGUCGUAGGAUGCGUCUCUGAGCUGAUCCAGCCAAAGAGUAACAACUUUGUCCUGCUUCAUUUGCCUCUGCUCUGCAUCUUCCAGCACAGCUUGAAUGGCUCGAAGAUUUUUGGUAAGCUUUUCCACUUCUUGUUCGACACCCGUCACAAGCCUCCACUUUUCUUUCACCUGAUCCUGAGGAAUGGAUUUCAGCUGGUCCAAGAGAAAGGAAACGAUCGCAUGAGCCAUUCUGAUAUUAGAUCAAAUGGAAAAUGCAGCAAUUGCUUUUCUUGCUAAAAUGCUCAAAGGAAAGUAGCUUUUAUGUAUUCUGUGAGAAUGUUCAUUCAACCAUGUUUGCAUUCUUCUUAUACGUACAAUAGGAGAUAUUUAAUUUUUACCCUUGAGUCAAUGUCAAUGUGAACGUUCUUUUGUGCUGUAAAUUAAAGGAGUCCCCACAGGAGUUACCGUCUGGGGCUAGCUUUCUGCUCAACCACGUCAAUAAUUGUACAACAUCUGCCCUGUUUGUCCGAUUCAUAAUAAUUAUUCAGACUACUGAGCAUCUGCUCCACCACCUCAAUAAUUGUACAGCAUCUGCCCUGUUUUUAUGAUUCAUCCUCAUAAUAAUUAUUCAGACUACUCAGCAUCAGAACUUGUAAAAUUUCUUAUAUUAUAAGUAACAAAAUAUUUGUAAACUACGACAAAAAGGUUAUAAGUAACAAAAUAUUUGUAAACUACGACAAAAAGGUUAUAAGUAACAAAAUAUUUGUAAACUACGACAAAAAGGUUAUAAGUAACAAAAUAUUUGUAAACUACGACAAAAAGGUUAUAAGUAACAAAAUAUUUGUAAACUACGACAAAAAGGUUAUAAGUAACAAAAUAUUUGUAAACUACGACAAAAAGGUUAUAAGUAACAAAAUAUUUGUAAACUACGACAAAAAGCUUGGAGCAAUCUACUGAUGAACCUUCUGAAGUUAUAUGCAAUAGACUAAUUUGAUCUAGAAUAAUCUUAGAGUUGGAACAAUUUUAAAAUAAAUGAUGUCUUAUUAUAAAGACAUGUCUAAUUAAUUUUGCCAUAGAAGAGGUAUCUUUUGAUAUUUAAUAUAAAUAUCAUACUAUGGUCUAUGACUUACCCAUAUUACAAAAAAAAUAUAUGGAAGAUAAGUAAAGAAUAAAGCUUUCAACGACGACUUAUAAAAUUGCUUUUGAUAAAACUGUCCUGAUGAAAUGAAAUUAUUUGAAAUGACUAAGAAUUUAAUUAGCCUCUCAAAAAGGUCUAUUUAUUGCUUGACUUCUCGAGUUUAAAAUUCGAUUGUCAAAAUAGAUAAAAAGUAAAAAAAAAUUAUUUUGAGUUUUAUCCAUCCGUUUACCAUUUUAAUAUAUAAAACUCUCCUAUUGCUUUAAAGUGUCAUUUUUUUAUUUUAAACAAGUCUCAGCCAAAGAUUAAAUUGUCAUAUGUUCGCAAGAUAUUCAGCACAACAGUUGAGGGAAAUUUCUUCAUCCUUGAGCAGAAAAUACAAAGAACAACAUAGUUCGCAAUUUUUGUAGCAAAAAUAAUAUUUUGUUCCAUAUGGGGUAAAUCUUCACGAGGCCUAAGUUCAAACUUUAAAUGUUAGUUGGGGAUUAAUUUUAGACUGUUUUUUCUAUUUAUAGUUAUUAUGUAGUCGUUGGGAAUUUCGGAAUUUGAGAAUUUUGCUUGCAGCUACAGGCUGCAGCUAUUUUAUUUGGCGACUUUGAUUCAUAAUUGAAGUUACUGUCGCAAGUAAAACUUAAAAAAUAAUUAACAAAAUAAAAAUCAAAGACUUAGGCCCAAGUUUUUAUCAAAAUUUUAAUAAAAGGCUAUUCGUCAUUUUGUCAUAAUGAAAAAAUAAUUAACAAAAUAAAAAUUAAAAAAUCGAGUUACUUGAUUUUAUUUUACAAAAUUUUCUAUUAUAUGUAUAAAGUUUAUGAGUAAUGAUACAACCACAAACUCUUGUACAAACUUAUUUUGUACAAACUGACGUGGCAUUAAUUCAUUGGUUGAAUGAAAAUAUAAAUUAAUAAAAACAAAUCAUGUGGGCCAAGUGAUAUUUAAUUCAACCAAUCUUAUCAUGCCACAUCAGUUUGUACAAAAUAAGUUUGUACAAGAGUUUGUGGCUGUAUCAUUACUCAAAGUUUAUAUAUCAAGUGCUUUGGGGUCAAAUUAGUCUUUUUAUACCUAAUUUUUAAUAUUUCAAUUUGAAGCCUCAAAAUUUUUCAAAGCUACGGUCACGAUCCCCACUAGGAGUGGGCAAAUUUGUGUUCAGAUUAACUUGAUUCAGUUUCGGGUUGAUUAGGUUAGAAUAUUUAGAUUGGAUUGGAUUAGAUAAAAAAGUAUGAGAGAAAUUAAUUGAGCUUCUCCCAAAAAAAAUACAUACAGAUGAUUGAUAUAUAACCAUUAAAUAAUAAAUAUGUUAGACUUAUUUUAUUUUUGAGCCCUAAAGUAUGAGAGAAAUUAAUACUUUCCGAAUUUAUUUUUUGUACCGUAAAGAAUCAAAUUACUCACAAAAUUAUUUUUAACUUUCAUGAUGCAAACAAACAAAUCAUCAUUAACUUCAAUGAAAUAAGUAUUGAAGGUAGAAUUGAUUUCUGUAGCGGAAUAUGAUGUAUUUGGGACUUCCUACUCUAUUAGCUAGGUUAAUAACAUGUUAAUUGUCACAUCAUUAAUUUUAGAUUAUAAAUUGUAUAUUCAAACUUUGUAUGACUGCUCCUUUUUCAAUGAUCUAACUAAUUGAUCUUGUUUCAAAAGAAACAAAAAAUAAAAAUAAAAUUAAGUAAUGCCAUGAUCUAAUUGGUCUUGUUAUUUACAUGUACUAAUGCAUUCUAUAUUUCUAACUUUGUACAUUUCAUGUCGCAAAAUUUUAUUAAAGCUGGGAUUAUUUAUGUUCUAAUACUUUGAACAUUAAUUUUUAAUCUACUCUUUAGAAUACCAAAAUAAUCCUUACCUAAACAUCUUUCAUAAAUGUUUUUUGCUGGGGCUGCAAAAAUUCAUAAUCUAAUUCUAGUUGAUGUGCCUUAUGUUCCAUCACAUUAAUGUAGAUAAUAAUAAUAGUUAAUUCAUUAACAAAAUUCAUAAUCUAGUUUUAGCUGAUGUGGCAUGUGUGUCGUAUGACAUAACUGUAGAUAAUAAUAGCUAACACAUUAACGAAAAUGAAAAUACUAGUUCACAAAAUACAAAUCCGAAUUUUGUGUGUGAGGGAAUUUAAAAAGGAGAGACUAAAAAAAUGUGGUGACAGAUGACAUUUAUUACGAAAAUUGAAAAUACAAAGUUUAGGACGCAACUGAAAGCAUCUCUUCAAUUGCAUUCAACCAAUUACCACCAUUCAUAAUUAACCAAAAUCAAAUAAAUUAAAAAAAACACACACAAAACAACCACAACACACUAUUUGUUUUUAUCAUCCCUGCUUCUUUUUCUUAGCAUAGUGAUGGUUGUUGAAGCCAACAAAAAUAAAUAUCUACUCUCAAUAAAUUGCGUAUAGUGAUUGAGCAGGGUCGUGUCCACAAAGAUCGGUAAUUAUUUAAAUCAUUUUAAAAUGUAAAAUGCAAAAUAGGGGGAUUCUUGACAAUAAUAAAAAUCAAAUUAAAAUAACAAGAAUGCAAAUUCAAAUUGUAAUUCAAAUUGGGAAAAGCUCUGGUUGAAGGAAUUAACUCAGCUUGAUUCGACUACUUAUCAUUGAUUCAAAUAUAAAUCAUUACUACUUAUGAAUACACCGGUUAUAGCUACUGAGACCCUCUAAUAGCUAAUCUCUCCUUAACUAGUCGAUAACCAAGGUACGACCAUUGGUUAUUUCCCUAAUCAAUAGAUAACCCUAGCUACGAUCAUAGGGUUUAAUCAAUUGACAGCCUGAAAAACCAGAGAGACUCAAAUCCUAAUCAACAAACGCAUACGAUGGUUUAUUUAAAUUAGAUUGUUUAUUUUCAUAACACAACGCACUGCUAUGCUAUUUGUCACAAAUAUUAAAAUUUUCAUACAAUGAAUCUUUAAUUGACAAUAUAUUAAGUUGAUAAUUAAAUAGUGGUCAAUUAUCUAAUUAACAAACAUAAUCAUGACAAUAAUUUAGAGAAUAAACAAAUACCCAAAAAGCAAUAAAACAAUUAAAGCAUAAGAAAGAUCUCAUAGUAAUGAUGGAAAAGAAAAAUUUAGAUCUAGGGUUUCUUUUUCUUCUCCAAAAAUCUCCUCCCCCUCUGUUUUUCACGUCUCCUUUCUCUUAUAGAGUUUUCCCAAAAAUAAAAUACUAAUAUCUAAAAUAUCAUCUAAAUAUUAAAUUCAAAAUUACAAAAAUAACCAAAAAGACAAAACAUGUUAAAAUAAAAACUGUAGGUCCUUAGUUGACAGCACGCGCCUACGCCUUAUCAACAAAGUUUUUCUGAAGCUCAUAAUUUCUCCAGGAAAACAAUCAUCCUCAAACAUCAUCUUGUAGCUCAAUUUUAGCACCAAUCAAUAGAAGUGCACCUACAAAAAUAAAAUACAAGUAAAUAACUAUUAUUAAGUGCAAAAUAUCGAUAUUAAAGGAGGUAAACAAUGCAAAAUUAGUGCAUAAAUUACACUCUAACACAUAGCUCUUGGAAUAAAAAUGAACAAAAAGUGCCAAAAUGGACGCAUUAAACACAGCGUUGAAGCACCAACCCCAAAUCCCAGAGCAACCAAAACCUGUGAAAUGAUAAUACAGCAUAAAAACCGAAACAACAAAACCAAACACAAACUGAACAAUCUGACAAUCAGUGACCAAUCUCUUCCACUUUGGCCGCAACCCCAUCACACACAACAGAUAGUACCCGUACAUGAUCACAUGCACACUUGCAUUGGUGACAAGUGCAAUAGGAAACAAAGACUGCUUCGUCUGUAACCAAAGGAAGUACAUUACAACGACGGUUGCAUGGUGGUAGAAGUGGAGGAACGUCAGCCGUUGGAUGGAAUUUGACAAAAUGAUCAAAAUGUGGAGGAACGUGAGCCAUUGGACGGAGUUUGACAAAAUGAUCAAAAGGGUGUCUAAGAAUUCGAGUAUUUUGGAGAGGUAGAAGAUGUAAGCGUAGAAGAAGAGAGGGCCAGACGGAGAAAUGGUAGGGGGGAUGGAGGAUGAUGGAGAGCGUGCAACCAACGGCCAUGAUGAGGGAGAGGAGGAGGGUGAGGUUAUGGACGGCUGUGAUGGGCUUGAGGAUGUGGGGUCCAAUGAGAGGUAGUGAUGGUGGCGAUGUUGAUGUUGAUGCGUGGUAGAGGAUGAAUGUGAGGGAGAGGUAAGUGAGGAUGGAGAGAAUGAGGAAGUGUGGGGAGGAAGCUAGUGUUUGGUUCUGAGUCCAUGUGAGCUUGAGGAUUUGGGGGUGGUUUACAAGCCAAUAUUGGAGUGUUGAGGUAAUUGAAUAUGAAGCCAUGGCUGGUUUUUGGGAGGAGAUAGAUUUGGAAGAGAUGACGUUGAGAGGAACGGGUGAGUUUAUAAAGUUUUGGGAUAAUGUGGAGGGUAUUUUGGACAUAUUGUUGUCUUAGCUUAAAUUUUGGAACAAGAUAAUCAAUAAUAAACUUUUUUUUUCAUAUCAAUUUAAAACUCCGAGUGCGUUUUCAAAAAUUGUUUUCCUUUUUCCAUUUCUGGAUUUUAAAUUGUAAAUUUAUUAAAGGAAGUUAAAUCAAGUGAUCACUUUUUUUUUUCUUGUAAAGCAAUUAAUCUAUUUUGUGAUUUAAGCAAAUAUUGAGUUGCGUACUUUAACGAUAUUAAUAUUUGAUUAGAAAUUUCAUCUACCGAAACUACAAAAGUUAAUAUUUUUUAUUAAAUCAAAACUAAAAUUAAGAGAUGACUUAUUGUCUGCCAACUGUCAUUAAACGAAGCAAUCACUCACGCACGAAAACUGGACUAAAAAUAGUUCUGUUCCAUGUAAACGUAAUUGUAUAUUCUCAACCUUAUUUAACUGACUUGAUUUUACUAACAUAAUUUUCUCCCAUUUCCAUAUUGUCGACGUUGAGUGCAUGUAAUCCACAAGUUUGAUUGAGCAGAAAAUAGCCAAAAGUCUAAGGCCUCGACGCCGUACCUCAAACCCAUCCCCUUUUACCAUAUUUUAUAAUGGAUUUUGCUAUGUUACAUUGAAUGUACCAUACACAACCCACAAGAACCACAUAAAUUAUGGGACCCACAUAAUUAUGUGGUUCUUAUUGGUUGUGUAUGGUACAUUCAAUGUAACAUAGCAAAAUCCAUUAUAAAAUAUGGUAAAAGGGGAUGGGUUUGAGGUACGGCGUCGAGGCCUUAGACUUUUGGCUAUUUUCUGCUCAAUCAAACUUGUGGAUUACAUGCACUCAACGUCGACAAUAUGGAAAUGGGAGAAAAUUAUGUUAGUAAAAUCAAGUCAGUUAAAUAAGGUUGAGAAUAUACAAUUACGUUUACAUGGAACAGAACUAUUUUUAGUCCAAUUUCAUGUUUGGAUGUUGAGGUUGAUGUGGAAAGGAGGGUACAUAAAUACAAAAAAUUUAUCUCAAAUAACUCAAAUAAUUAAUUUUUUAUUAGUUUAGUAAUGAGAACUUUCGUUAUAUUUUAAAAGUAUAAUUCAAUACAAAAAAAAACUUAAUAAAAAUAACUGUUAUUUAACAUAUUAUACUUUUUCAAUAAUAAAAUAAUUCAAAAUUUAAUUAUUAUAACAAUAAAAUUUGUAAUUAUAUAAGCCAAUCAUGUACUACAUCCAUUCAUCACAUAAAAUAUAAAAUAGUACUGAAUAUAAUCUUGUUACGAAUAUUCUUAUAAUAUCUAUCACAUCAUAUACUAUCAUAUCCCAUCUGGCAUGCCAAACGUGCAAAGUUUGAGUAAGAUUUGUUAAAGUUGAGCAACAUCUUGUAUGGUCAAGCACGUCGAGUAUGGACUUGCAUGAUUGAGUAAGUACAACUAAAGUCAGAUAGAGUAUGGUAAAUCCCUAUAUAGUGUUGAGGUUGGACAACUAUACCUUUUAAGUAAAAAAUUAAACAGUUUUGGUAAACAUUUGCUAUUGUGACUUAAAAAUUAAUUUGAUUUAAUCUCAUACUUUAUUGUAAAAAAAAACUUAUAAUAUCUUUAUUAAUUUUAUUAAAAUUAUUAUUUAAAAGUCAUACAUUUACCACACAUUGUCAACUUUCGGUUUUUUUUUUCCACAACAGCUAGUAAUAUCAAACAAGACCUAAGUUGAGUAUGACCAAUUAAUUAAAGUUAUGAUUUUUUUUUGUAUAAAAUAAUCAUUAGAUAAUUAGUCUGUAAAGAAUAUCGGCUACUUCAAAUGGAAACUUGCGAUCAAAACUGUAUCACAGAAGUGACAAAGACACAUUAUAUGAGAAAUCUGAAAUAGAAUUUGCAAAAUUGAACUGGGUUACAGAGAGUUAAUAAGACUCCAAAGGAACAUGGCAAUUAUUAUUAUCUAGGAAACAAUUCAUAGCGAAAACAAAAUUAACUUUUCUAACUCACUAGAAUUUAACUGGAGAAAAAUUGGAAUAUAGGACGUUGUAUCACAUAUGGUAUUUAGACAUCAAGAAAAGAAUCCCUCUAUCUGUGAACUAUACUUGCCAGGGAACACCAGGCGAAUACCACCACCAUUCUACUAGUUCCUAGGUGUCUUAGAGUUUGAUGAGGACUUCCAUGCUGUGUCUCUUCGACAGGCAGCAAGAUUGGGCAAUUGACUGCAUUAACUCCAACAAAUUUAUGCAGUCUACUUCCUCCGGACUAUCCUCUCCCUUUCCCCUUCAAUAAAGUCAACAUUAUCUUGUUUGACACCAAGGAGCCCAAGCCCAGAAACAAUGGCAUUCUUUGGUAUCAACCACCUGGGGACUUUUGAGCUGAGCCAUGACAUCCUGAGAUGGCCUGUUGUGUAAGCCUUCUUCAAAAGGUCAUUCGUUGAUCUUUCUCCUAAUUAGACAUUCAAAAUCCUGCAUGGAAUCCAUUUGAGAAGUUUUGACAAUAGACAUACUCCAACACAUAUAGACAGUAAAGAAGAAUUUAGAGCACAAUCACUGUGGCUGAACAAAUGGGCCUAUUAAGCCUAUUAAAAGUUGGAACCAUAUUCACCACUCGCAUUUCCUGAGAGAACUAUAUCCGAAUUCUGUAAAUUUAAAACUAUUCUUACAUAUUUAACUGUAAAACAAGAGAAAUGUACUUCCGUAGCAAAGUCUCACUAUUGGUGAGUAUCUGGACUUGGAAUGGAUGCUAGUUGAUUAAGUGAAGGAAAAUUGAAAUCAGACUUUGAGGUGAUAGAUCUAUACACUUCAAUGGGAACCACAUUAACAUCACAUGAGCCAAACAAACAAAUUCCCCAGUCAAAGUUCAACAAACAAAACAUUAAAACAAGAGUAAUUUGGUGUAUCAAUGUAUACGUAGAGAUGUCGAUCAAUUGACAAAUACGUAAAAGAGGGAGGGAGAGACCUCAAAGCCGUGCUUAACAACAUUGCUACUCCAAUAACUUCAAAAUGGUUGGCGACGUCUCUAUCAAAUCCACACAAUAGCUGAUAUCUCAUGUUUGCAUGUAGUCCAAUGAAAGCAGAAGCACCAUAACCAAGCACAUUAGUACUCACAGGUGGGUUUGUCACAGAUAACCUGUCGGGCAUUAAAAAUUGCCCAAAUUAAACAAAUGUUAGACCGGCUUAGACAGUAAACGGAACAAUAUUCUAAUUUUACUUUAUUUAUAACGAAUAAGAGAACAAAGGAAUGAAAGGGAAGUUUGGCAACAGUCUUUUUACCAGCCAGAUAGUUUGACAAAGAAUCUUGCACUGCUCCUGCAGCUAAUCCCACCAUACACAACUCUGUUCAAAUAUACUGUUUGGGAGCUUUUGUAAUGUAUUUUGCAAGUCAAACAGGAAGGUAUUUCCAUAAGAAGGUUCACUUCACAUGCUCAACAAUUCAAAUUUGCAGAUGAUAUUUCUCAAAAUGAAGGGCUCUAUUUGGCUUGCCAACAAUCUUCCUCNNNNNNNNNNNNNNNNNNNNNNNNNNNNNNNNNNNNNNNNNNNNNNNNNNNNNNNNNNNNNNNNNNNNNNNNNNNNNNNNNNNNNNNNNNNNNNNNNNNNNNNNNNNNNNNNNNNNNNNNNNNNNNNNNNNNNNNNNNNNNNNNNNNNNNNNNNNNNNNNNNNNNNNNNNNNNNNNNNNNNNNNNNNNNNNNNNNNNNNNNNNNNNNNNNNNNNNNNNNNNNNNNNNNNNNNNNNNNNNNNNNNNNNNNNNNNNNNNNNNNNNNNNNNNNNNNNNNNNNNNNNNNNNNNNNNNNNNNNNNNNNNNNNNNNNNNNNNNNNNNNNNNNNNNNNNNNNNNNNNNNNNNNNNNNNNNNNNNNNNNNNNNNNNNNNNNNNNNNNNNNNNNNNNNNNNNNNNNNNNNNNNNNNNNNNNNNNNNNNNNNNNNNNNNNNNNNNNNNNNNNNNNNNNNNNNNNNNNNNNNNNNNNNNNNNNNNNNNNNNNNNNNNNNNNNNNNNNNNNNNNNNNNNNNNNNNNNNNNNNNNNNNNNNNNNNNNNNNNNNNNNNNNNNNNNNNNNNNNNNNNNNNNNNNNNNNNNNNNNNNNNNNNNNNNNNNNNNNNNNNNNNNNNNNNNNNNNNNNNNNNNNNNNNNNNNNNNNNNNNNNNNNNNNNNNNNNNNNNNNNNNNNNNNNNNNNNNNNNNNNNNNNNNNNNNNNNNNNNNNNNNNNNNNNNNNNNNNNNNNNNNNNNNNNNNNNNNNNNNNNNNNNNNNNNNNNNNNNNNNNNNNNNNNNNNNNNNNNNNNNNNNNNNNNNNNNNNNNNNNNNNNNNNNNNNNNNNNNNNNNNNNNNNNNNNNNNNNNNNNNNNNNNNNNNNNNNNNNNNNNNNNNNNNNNNNNNNNNNNNNNNNNNNNNNNNNNNNNNNNNNNNNNNNNNNNNNNNNNNNNNNNNNNNNNNNNNNNNNNNNNNNNNNNNNNNNNNNNNNNNNNNNNNNNNNNNNNNNNNNNNNNNNNNNNNNNNNNNNNNNNNNNNNNNNNNNNNNNNNNNNNNNNNNNNNNNNNNNNNNNNNNNNNNNNNNNNNNNNNNNNNNNNNNNNNNNNNNNNNNNNNNNNNNNNNNNNNNNNNNNNNNNNNNNNNNNNNNNNNNNNNNNNNNNNNNNNNNNNNNNNNNNNNNNNNNNNNNNNNNNNNNNNNNNNNNNNNNNNNGAAAUGUGUGAGUGUGAAUUCGAACGAAUUAAUCAAAUAUGAUGACACGAGAAACAAAAUUAAAAUAACCACAAGAAGUAGAAAUAUACUUUUGUUAUAUUUAGUGCAUCUUCUGUGUGUGCUCAAACGCAAUGCCUCAAGGCGCAAGAUAAUUUUAUGACCGUCAAUCUUUUGCAGCCAUAUGCAGACUUGAAACAUUGGCGGUGGUUCUAAGGAACUUGAAAAUUAGAAAAGUUUCAAAAUGAGUGACUAAAUAUGAUAAUCGAAACUAAUUAAAUAUACAUGCCUUGUAAAUAUGAAGCUAAAUUACUCAAAUGUAUGUGCCUCUUCGCAGCAAUUGCUCGUGGUGGAAACUUUACUGCAAAGACUUCCUCAAACCCUUGAAGAUCACACUCUUCCUGGCAACAAAGAAACAGAGACGAUAUACGAAGAUGAUUUUACUAACAAGUGAGAGCUUGCAAAUAUUGGAAGGAUAACGAUUGCUCAUAACCCGAAUCCCCAAUACCCUCUAAUAUCUCACUCGAGUGAGUUCAAGCUCCCAAAAUUCACUACAGUGAAACUCUCAAAACAAAAUUCUCUUCAAAUAUUCUCAACUCAAAUUUGAUGAUGACAUCUCUCGAAGGAAGGCAAAAAAUCUAACACUGAUCAAAUUGGCUUGUGAACAAUUAAUGUUCCUGGCCAUCAUUCAUACUAGGUGUGGCGAACAAUUAAGCUGCUUAGUAUCCUGAACCUGAUAACUUACACAAACAAAAACAACUUGCCUAAAGUUUAAUAUUUAGAGGCAGAACAGUAAAGAAGAAGAUAUAUAUUGAUACUAAAAUUUGACCUGCGUUACCCUGAUGUCAAGAAUAGCAGGAUCUCAUGUGGGCAAAAUCAUCGCAAUACGAGAUGCUUGCAAAAUUGAAGCAGCAUCUUAUCACCUGUAAUUUAAUUAAGAUAAUAACUUUCCCCGACUAUUUCAAUGCAUUAUUGGCAACUAAAUUCAGAGGGCGCUAAUUAAAUACCCUUUUAACAAUAUCUUCUUAUUCUUCUCUAAUCUAGCAGUUAUUUGGAAAAUCUAAAUGACAGUCAUGCAUCAAUGGCGUCAAAAUUUAGCUACAAAGCAGCCUAGAAAAGGCUUCACCCUCAGAAUGAGAGCAUGAAUUCGAAUAAUAUGAUGAAUGAAGAAACAAAGGCAUAAUACCACAAGAAGUCAAACUUUUCCCCAGAGCUCUGUUUCUGUUUGUGCUAAAGCAAAUGGAAACCAGUGGAAAUGAAUUUCUACGAACUAGACAUAUCAGCCAAAACAGGUACUCUGUACAAGCAAAGUAAAAGAGAGUUACAACAAAAUUUAAGAUUGAUAUGAUAAUUAAAAUUUCAGUCACCAUAUAAUUAAUAGAAAACUUUGUACACAAUGAUUUAUUGCAUAUUAAGAUUGGAUAGCUAAAUUUUAAUUGCUAUACAAAAUAUGAUAUUAGCAUUAGGAGACCGCACCAAAACGUACCGAAUUGAAUGUGCCUUUUCACAGCCAUUGUACAAGCUUUGAAGCUUUAGCACAAAUGCUUUUUCAAACCCAUGAACAUGAUGCACCCGAGAGAUGCAAGAUAUGAAAUUGUUACUACAACAGGCAUUGAAACAUUUGUUAAGAAAGGAAGUUUAUGAAAAUACGCCUUAACAAUCAUUAGAUACUCGUCUUCAGGAAUCAAUUCCUCUGUAAUAACAAUUUUCAAAAAGCAUCAACUGCUUUAAGCUCCUCAACAUCACAUAGAUCUUCAAUUAAAAUAGGGCAGAUCCGGCCAUCACUAUUCCUUCCACUGCUCUUUUGCUUUAGAGAACGCUUGAAUUACAGAAUGCGUGUAAGGCUCUCUUGUUCAAGGUCCAGCGAUCAAACCUUGCACAAUAACAACAGAGUUAGUAGUUCCAUCGCCAGCCUAAUCCUUGGACUCGCCAAUGUUCUCCAAUUAACAGAGGUAGUAGGAAAUCAACCAAAAAAUAAGAAUGAGUUUGAAAAACUGUUUAUGGCCCUAAAGAACUUGAAAAUCAGAAAUGAUCAAGAAUGAGUGACUAAACAUUUUAAUCGACUAAACAUACAAAACUUGAAAAACCUAAUAUUGAAGUACUCUGAAUGAACAUGCAAUUGCACGAGCUGGUGACAACUGACUUUACUGCAAACCCUUGGAGAUGAUACUCUACAUACCAUGAUAACCUGAUAGCUGAUAUCUCAUGUUUGCAUGUAGUCCAAUGAAAGCAGAAGCACCAUAACCAAGCACAUUAGUACUCACAGAUGGGUUUGCCACAGAUAACCUGUCAGGCAUUAAAAAUUGCCCAAAUUAAACAAAUGUUAGACCGGCUUAGACAGUAAACGGAACAAUAUUCUAAUUUUACUUUAUUUAUAACGAAUAAGUGAACAAAGGAAUGAAAAGGAAGUUUGGCAACAGUCUUUUUACCAGCCAGAUAGUUUGACAAAGAAUCUUGCACUGCUCCUGCAGCUAAUCCCACCAUACACAACUCUGUUCAAAUAUACUGUUUGGGAGCUUUUGUAAUGUAUUUUGCAAGUCAAACAGGAAGGUAUUUCCAUAAGAAGGUUCACUUCACAUGCUCAACAAUUCAAAUUUGCAGAUGAUAUUUCUCAAAAUGAAGGGCUCUAUUUGGCUUGCCAACAAUCUUCCUCACCGCUAUCAUCCUUGCUAUACCGGUUAAACUGAACAGUCUUCAUUCUGACAUUUGCCCUAUUAACCUGAGUACACAAGAAUCCGAAACAACUGUUAGAAAUUAUAAUCUUUAUAUAUAGCCAAAAUGUUGAAUAAGAUGAUGUACUUGAUAAUAAAUACCUGAGUUAAUAAAUAAUUAAGGGGCCGGUAACAAUCUCAGCAUCUUAUCAAGUGGGGAAAGCCUACGCAACGAAGAUGCUGCUUGCUUUCAAGCAGUAAUAACUUUCCAAUUCCAUAAGGUAGCUUAAUGCCCUUUUAAAAAUAUCUCCACCAGCCUAACAAUUAUUCAUGGAAAUUCAAUUUGCAUUUGUCGCCUUCAAUUUGCUCAUCUUUGUCCAGAGUAUUGUUUUUGCAUUUACUUAGCUAGCCUACAAGCCACCUGCAGAUGGUUUUAAAUAAUGUGUGAGAGUGUGAAUUCGAACGAAUUAAUCAAAUAUGAUGACACGAGAAACAAAAUUAAAAUAACCACAAGAAGUAGAAAUAUACUUUUGUUAUAUUUAGUGCAUCUUCUGUGUGUGCUCAAACGCAAUGCCUCAAGGCUCAAGAUAAUUUUAUGACCAUCAAUCUUUUGCCGCCAUAUGCAGACUUGAAACAUUGGCGGUGGUUCUAAGGAACUUGAAAAUUAGAAAAGUUUCAAAAUGAGUGACUAAAUAUGAUAAUCGAAACUAAUUAAAUAUACAUGCCUUGUAAAUAUGAAGCUAAAUUACUCAAAUGUAUGUGCCUCUUCGCAGCAAUUGCUCGUGGUGGAAACUUUACUGCAAAGACUUCCUCAAACCCUUGAAGAUCACACUCUUCCUGGCAACAAAGAAACAGAGACGAUAUACGAAGAUGAUUUUACUAACAAGUGAGAGCUUGCAAAUAUUGGAAGGAUAACGAUUGCUCAUAACCCGAAUCCCCAAUACCCUCUAAUAUCUCACUCGAGUGAGUUCAAGCUCCCAAAAUUCACUACAGUGAAACUCUCAAAACAAAAUUCUCUUCAAAUAUUCUCAACUCAAAUUUGAUGAUGACAUCUCUCGAAGGAAGGCAAAAAAUCUAACACUGAUCAAAUUGGCUUGUGAACAAUUAAUGUUCCUGGCCAUCAUUCAUACUAGGUGUGGCGAACAAUUAAGCUGCUUAGUAUCCUGAACCUGAUAACUUACACAAACAAAAACAACUUGCCUAAAGUUUAAUAUUUAGAGGCAGAACAGUAAAGAAGAAGAUAUAUAUUGAUACUAAAAUUUGACCUGCGUUACCCUGAUGUCAAGAAUAGCAGGAUCUCAUGUGGGCAAAAUCAUCGCAAUACGAGAUGCUUGCAAAAUUGAAGCAGCAUCUUAUCACCUGUAAUUUAAUUAAGAUAAUAACUUUCCCCGACUAUUUCAAUGCAUUAUUGGCAACUAAAUUCAGAGGGCGCUAAUUAAAUACCCUUUUAACAAUAUCUUCUUAUUCUUCUCUAAUCUAGCAGUUAUUUGGAAAAUCUAAAUGACAGUCAUGCAUCAAUGGCGUCAAAAUUUGGCUACAAAGCAGCCUAGAAAAGGCUUCACCCUCAGAAUGAGAGCAUGAAUUCGAAUAAUAUGAUGAAUGAAGAAACAAAGGCAUAAUACCACAAGAAGUCAAACUUUUCCCCAGAGCUCUGUUUCUGUUUGUGCUAAAGCAAAUGGAAACCAGUGGAAAUGAAUUUCUACGAACUAGACAUAUCAGCCAAAACAGGUACUCUGUACAAGCAAAGUAAAAGAGAGUUACAACAAAAUUUAAGAUUGAUAUGAUAAUUAAAAUUUCAGUCACCAUAUAAUUAAUAGAAAACUUUGUACACAAUGAUUUAUUGCAUAUUAAGAUUGGAUAGCUAAAUUUUAAUUGCUAUACAAAAUAUGAUAUUAGCAUUAGGAGACCGCACCAAAACGUACCGAAUUGAAUGUGCCUUUUCACAGCCAUUGUACAAGCUUUGAAGCUUUAGCACAAAUGCUUUUUCAAACCCAUGAACAUGAUGCACCCGAGAGAUGCAAGAUAUGAAAUUGUUACUACAACAGGCAUUGAAACAUUUGUUAAGAAAGGAAGUUUAUGAAAAUACGCCUUAACAAUCAUUAGAUACUCGUCUUCAGGAAUCAAUUCCUCUGUAAUAACAAUUUUCAAAAAGCAUCAACUGCUUUAAGCUCCUCAACAUCACAUAGAUCUUCAAUUAAAAUAGGGCAGAUCCGGCCAUCACUAUUCCUUCCACUGCUCUUUUGCUUUAGAGAACGCUUGAAUUACAGAAUGCGUGUAAGGCUCUCUUGUUCAAGGUCCAGCGAUCAAACCUUGCACAAUAACAACAGAGUUAGUAGUUCCAUCGCCAGCCUAAUCCUUGGACUCGCCAAUGUUCUCCAAUUAACAGAGGUAGUAGGAAAUCAACCAAAAAAUAAGAAUGAGUUUGAAAAACUGUUUAUGGCCCUAAAGAACUUGAAAAUCAGAAAUGAUCAAGAAUGAGUGACUAAACAUUUUAAUCGACUAAACAUACAAAACUUGAAAAACCUAAUAUUGAAGUACUCUGAAUGAACAUGCAAUUGCACGAGCUGGUGACAACUGACUUUACUGCAAACCCUUGGAGAUGAUACUCUACAUACCAUGAUAACC